rnacentral:tRNA from 1 species
GGGGGUAUGGCAUAUUGGUUGUGCAUCUGACUUCUAAUCAGCUUAAACCAGUUCGAUUCUGGUUGCUUCCA